GGUCGUCUCUCCGGUCAUCCGUCUGCUGCAUCGCCGUUGACAGUGCAUUUGCCAUUGAUCUCUGUCUCUUUCGUUGGCGCUGCUCCGUCCAUUGCAAAAGGAUUUUCGAUCCAAACUUGCUUAAAAAGAAAGUACAUUCUACUUUUCUGCAUUUAUUUAUAGGAGAAAAUUCUCCUCAGAAUAUGUUUGGAUUCUAGUUCUCAUGGCAUUCAUUUUUUAUGCAGCUAAAUGAUAAGGAGCUUGCAAAAGAGUUGUAUAAGAAGUAUAGCGCGAUCCAUAGGCGAAAAAUACGUGCUUGGCAAAUGAUAUGUGUUUUGUCACAAUUUGUUGAUGAUGAUAUAGUUGGAGAAGUCACACGGUGCUUGCAAAUAGCUCUCUAUGUUUAUUCACGGUGUUCCUGUUGGACCUGUCAGUGAUCAGUUUGGAGGGUUGAUUUUUAUCUAUGUGAAGUGAAUUGGAUCCCUACAAAAGAAGUAUUCGAUAGGCUCAUUUGAAUUGCCUAAUCAAACAACUCUAUUUUAAGCUCUCCGUAAUUGCAUUUGAAAGAUUUAUUUUAGAGGUCUCGGAUAAUUAUGUGAAGAAAGCAUUAGUAAAGAAAUGAAGAGACCAUAAAAGAACUUUUAAAAAUGAAUAUUUUAAGAAAAAUAUAAGCCUUGAAGAGAAAUUGUGAAAUGUCCCGCCGGGAAUGCUGAGGUACCAAUGGAAAGAUGCAAUUAGAUUUUGGAAUUCAAAGAAAGGAGAGGAUCGUGAGCGAGUUCAAACUACAAGUAGGCAAAAACAAAAAUUAACGUACACAACUGGGUCGAAAAGUUUUGCUUGUGUAGCUAAUGAUGAGGAACUGUCGUCUGGUCAAAAAGUUAAACGCCUUCAGCUUUUUGACAUUACACAUAGAAAGUAAGAUGGAUCUCCUAUGGCUAUUGAAGCUGCAAAAAUCAUGGAGAAACUAAAGGUUCAAGUGAUAGUUCGGUUAAUCUGGACGACAUUAAUAACUAAGUUAUUACUGAAGUUUUAGGUCCUGAAAGGUAUUAUCGGGUUCGAUUUCAAAGAUCUUUCAUUAGCCCAACCCAAUAUUUUGGAUCCAGCUCGCAGCGAUACAUGCCUUCGGCGAAUCAGGCUCAAGUUGAAGUUCAGAGGUGAAGAGACCAGAUGGCUCAAAUGCAAGCAAGCAUAGUUGAGCAAAUUGCUCAACUUAAAGCAAAUGUAGUAGCGAGGGAAGCAGCAAGGGCAACAGAGGCAACAAGAAAAUAUGACGAACUUCAACUACAGCUUCAAAAUAUGAUGAAGAUGUUUCAGCAGAAUCAAUUGCAGAAUCCGCCAUCUUAGACUUUUUUUUUCUUAUUGUGAGAAUAUCUUAACAAUAUAGCUUUUGAAUAUAUUUUUUUAUUUCAGUUAUUAAUUUAGAUCA